rnacentral:rRNA from 1 species
GAUGAACGCUGGCGGCGUGCCUAAUACAUGCAAGUCGAGCGAACGGACGAGAAGCUUGCUUCUCUGAUGUUAGCGGCGGACGGGUGAGUAACACGUGGAUAACCUACCUAUAAGACUGGGAUAACUUCGGGAAACCGGAGCUAAUACCGGAUAAUAUUUUGAACCGCAUGGUUCAAAAGUGAAAGACGGUCUUGCUGUCACUUAUAGAUGGAUCCGCGCUGCAUUAGCUAGUUGGUAAGGUAACGGCUUACCAAGGCAACGAUGCAUAGCCGACCUGAGAGCGUGAUCGGCCACACUGGAACUGAGACACGGUCCAGACUCCUACGGGAGGCAGCAGUAGGGAAUCUUCCGCAAUGGGCGAAAGCCUGACGGAGCAACGCCGCGUGAGUGAUGAAGGUCUUCUGAUCGUAAAACUCUGUUAUUAGGGAAGAACAUAUGUGUAAGUACCUGUGCACAUCUUGACGGUACCUAAUCAGAAAGCCACGGCUAACUACGUG